rnacentral:rRNA from 1 species
UACAGAGGGUGCGAGCGUUAAUCGGAAUUACUGGGCGUAAAGCGCGCGUAGGCGGCUUUGCAAGUCGGGUGUGAAAUCCCCAGGCUUAACCUGGGAACUGCAUUCGAGACUGCAUUGCUAGAGUAUGGGAGAGGGAAGUGGAAUUUCCGGUGUAGCGGUGAAAUGCGUAGAUAUCGGAAGGAACAUCAGUGGCGAAAGCGGCUUCCUGGUCCAGCACCGACGUUCAGGCACGAAAGCGUGGGGAGCAAACAGG